UAGGGAAUCUUCGGCAAAGGACGAAAGUCUGACCGAGCAACGCCGCGUGAGUGAAGAAGGUUUUCGGAUCGUAAAACUCUGUUGUUAGAGAAGAACAAGGACGUUAGUAACUGAACGUCCCCUGACGGUAUCUAACCAGAAAGCCACGGCUAACUACGUGCCAGCAGCCGCGGUAAUACGUAGGUGGCAAGCGUUGUCCGGAUUUAUUGGGCGUAAAGCGAGCGCAGGCGGUUUCUUAAGUCUGAUGUGAAAGCCCCCGGCUCAACCGGGGAGGGUCAUUGGAAACUGGGAGACUUGAGUGCAGAAGAGGAGAGUGGAAUUCCAUGUGUAGCGGUGAAAUGCGUAGAUAUAUGGAGGAACACCAGUGGCGAAGGCGGCUCUCUGGUCUGUAACUGACGCUGAGGCUCGAAAGCGUGGGGAGCAAACAGG
rnacentral:rRNA from 1 species